ensembl:lncRNA
GAGGUGGGCCCUGAUCUAGUACAACUGUUGUUCUCAUAAAAAGAGGAAAUUUGGAAACACAUAUAUACACAUAGAGAACACCAUGUGAUGAGGAUGGCAGAGAUAUGAAUAAAGCACCUACAAGCCACAGAAUGCCACCAGUUGCCAGCAAGCCACCAGAAGCAGGGCAAAGGUAAAGAAACAUUCUCUCAUACAACGCACAGAAGGACUCAACCCUGUCAAAACCUUGAUCUUCAAUUUCAACUCUCCAGAAAUGGGCAAAGACAGGAUGCGUGUUCCCUUCGCAAGAGAACACACUGAGCACUGGACCUGGCCCGCAGGAAGCCCUUGGAAGGGGUGAGCUGUUUGUAUUCCACCUUGGGGUCUCCAGCAGCCUUUCUGAUACCCAGGAGCAGGAUCUUGACCAUGGAGAGGACACUCAUAAUCCUACAGGAAGGAACAAAUCCAUUCCUGCUGAGGUUCUAUGAGAGCAGCCCAUUCCUCCAUGGGUGACUCUGCAACUUGGACCUUCAGGAUGAAGCAUCAAUGAGGCUGAAGGAUGAAGGCCCGGCACAGGAUGGGCGGGGUCAGGAAACAUCCGGCUUAUUGUUUUCAAUUCUACUCACUCAUGAACUCUCCCUGGGAAACUUAGGCUCUGCCUCAUCCUGCCCAUCCAAGGCUCUGCUCUUCCAGAGUAGAAGAGGAUUUAAAGCAGUAGAUCCCUAACACCCACCCCAUUCUUCUAACAGUUGGAAUUUUCAGGUGGGCUUCUGGGACCUCAUCUAUAUACCUGACACCACUUCCUUUGCUGCAUAGAAACCCUCCUGGGGAAGGUCCUCCCAACAUUUUCCUCUGCACUCUCUCAGCUUCACAAAUGGGGCAGCCCAUAUGCGAAAGGGCAUGUGUGCAUGUAAGCACACAGACACACAGACACACUAUGGUGGUUCCCAGCUGAGGCUCAGUGGUCAGACUGCUGCCUUAGUUAGAAGUCAUGCUGCCCACUUACUACUUCUUGAUCUUUGACAAGUAACUGAGUCUCCCUGUGCUAUAGUUUCUUUUAGAAAAUGAGGACAAUAACAGUCUCUCCCCACCUUAGAGUCAUUGUAGAGAUAAAACAAGGAACUGCAGGUAAAGCAUCUAGUAUAGUCCAUGGUACACAGUAGAUACUCAAGAGAGUCAGCUAUAGUUGGCUGGUUCAGGGAAAUGAAUUGAAUGCAAGUAGACAUGUGGAGUUGAUUUAUACAUGCACACAAACACACAUCUGCUCCAAGGAGCUACAUCAGUUAUAGUCAGGUAGACCCUGGAGGAUUACAGUUCUCUGAGACAAUGUCUGGAAAUGCAGAAGUCUUUCUCUGGCCUGCACUUCAAGGAACUUUAAC